UCCGGUUUGUCACCGGCAGUCUCCUUAAAGUUCCCACCAUUACGUGCUGGCAAAUAAGGACAAGGGUUGCGCUCGUUACGGGACUUAACCCAACAUCUCACGACACGAGCUGACGACAGCCAUGCAGCACCUGUCUCAGCGUUCCCGAAGGCACCCCCGCAUCUCUGCAGGGUUCGCUGGAUGUCAAGACCUGGUAAGGUUCUUCGCGUUGCGUCGAAUUAAACCACAUGCUCCACCGCUUGUGCGGGCCCCCGUCAAUUCAUUUGAGUUUUAAUCUUGCGACCGUACUCCCCAGGCGGUCAACUUAGCGCGUUAGCUGCGUCACUAAGGGGUCUAAGCCCCCCAACGACUAGUUGACAUCGUUUACAGCGUGGACUAC
rnacentral:misc_RNA from 1 species